GGGCAAUUGAUCUAGUGGUAUGAUUCUCGCUUAGGGUGCGAGAGGUCCCGAGUUCAAUUCUCAGAUUGUCCC